rnacentral:tRNA from 1 species
GAAGGUGUAGUUCAAUUGGUGGAACAUCGGACUUUUAAUCCGUCGGCUGCGGGUUCGAGUCCCGUCAUCUUCA